UACGUAGGGGGCUAGCGUUGUCCGGAAUCAUUGGGCGUAAAGCGCGUGUAGGCGGUCCGGUAAGUCCGCUGUGAAAGUCGGGGGCUCAACCCUCGAAUGCCGGUGGAUACUGUCGGGCUAGAGUCCGGAAGAGGCGAGUGGAAUUCCUGGUGUAGCGGUGAAAUGCGCAGAUAUCGGGAGGAACACCAAUGGCGAAGGCAGCUCGCUGGGACGUUACUGACGCUGAGACGCGAAAGCGUGGGGAGCAAACAGG
rnacentral:rRNA from 1 species